AGAAAGAAGUGGUUUUUACUCUUGAGUAUGUUUUGGGAGGAUAUUUGAAACUUAUGUGGAUUAAGGCAUCUGUCUGGGAAGCAGCUUAUCCUGCUGGCUCUCAAGGGACCCCAUCAGCUCUGACAGACAGCAAAGUAACUGCUCUGUUUUGGGACAUGAACUGUGGUGUUCACUAUGAGUGCCCAGCUACAGGUAGUUUCUGUAAAAGCCCUGGGCCUUCAAAAAUUGCUUAUCCUACAGGAAGAGUGCAGGUCCUGAAACAUUGCCACUGAUAAGGCAAUUUGAAAGGAGGAGGGACCACUCCUAAGUUACCCAAAGACAAGGUUGAGAGUUUCUGAUGGUGAGCUCACAAAAACAAGGCAAUUUCUGUGUGCUGGACUAUGGCACAGGA